rnacentral:rRNA from 1 species
GCGACCCCAGGACGGGCGAGGGCACCCGCUGAGUUU